UGAAUUUUAAAUAAAUUUUUCUUUCUUCAUUCACAUUUACUGCCAAAGUAAACACCAUGACAUAAUCUCGCUCAUCAUUUCCUUUACAUUUGUACUAUUUAAAAUGGAUUAUAUCCGCCUGUGUCAUUUAAUUCACUUUUCUUAAAACACCGUCAUCCCCCCCCCGUACUUUGGCAUAUGUUAUUCCACUUUGCUUUGUUAACUUCAGGUUAGGAUCUCAGGAAAACCCACCAAUCCCAGAGAAAAUAUUAUAUACUUAUGAACGUUGAGAAAUAUCUAUGAGGAAAAAGUUACAACCACAUUUUUUAAAAAAUGCUGUUUUAUGAUCUUUUUUUAAUUACCUGAUGUUUGGCGCUAGACCUGUGUCGGCGGUAGGCAUGUGCCGAUAUGACAUUUUUGUGUCACGGUUUACGAUGAUGUAUCGACUAUGUCUUUAACAGUAGCUGUUAUUAUUGGUCAGCGUUUUUAAGUGUGUGUGAAUUACUCAGGAUUUGGCUCCCUUUGUAUGUGACACCGGUUUACUCAACAAUCGCUCGCUAGCUUUGUAGCUCAGAUGAAUGGAAUGGUAGCAGCGAUAAUCUGUGAAGUGUAUCUGCGAUGAUAGUAUUAAGCCUGCCGAAUAUUGCAACGUAACGUCGAAGUGGUGGGUGUUGAUUCAGCGUUUUUGGUUAGCAAUGACUUUAUCAGCUUUGGUUUAGAGGUUCGAUCAGCUGUUGAAUCGGUUGGUUUUGAAUCCUGGAUUCAGUUGCCUAUGACAUGUUGUAUAGAUGAAGUAUGGCUCAGUGAAUUGGUUAUCUGUGAUUCAUUGAUCAGUUGAGUGACUCCUUGGUUCACUGAACGAAUCACCAGUGACUUGUUGAAUAAGCCAUCCAUUAGUAGGCAGAAGCUCUUUGAAUCAUUAGGCUGCGGCUCACUGAAUCGGUUAUGAUUGUUUCAUUGAAUAGAUCAACUGUGGCUCAUUGAAUCAGUUAGCUCUGGCUUAUUGAAUCAGCAAUCUGUAAGUCACUGAAUCAGUCAGCUUUGUCUUGUUGAAUCGGUCAGCUGUGACUCACUGAAUUGGUUAGCUGUGACUUGUUGAAUCGGUCAGCUCUGGCUCGUUGAAUCGGUCAGCUGUGACUCUUUGAAUCGGUCAGCUGUGACUUUGAAUUGGUCAGCUGUGACUCAUUGAAUUGGUCAGCUGUGGCUCGUUUAAUCGGUCAGCUGUGACUCACUGUAUCGGUCAGCUGUGACUCACUGAAUCGGUCAGCUGUGGCUUGUUGAAUCGGUCAGCUGUGACUCGGUUAAUUGUUCUGAAUAACUGAGUAUCGGCACAUGCCUCGUGUCUAAGCAUAACAUCUUAGUGUCCAUGUAGAUAAUCUCUUACGACAUUGUUGUGAUUUGUAUGUGUGUUUGUGUGUACCCGCUGCAGUAUUCCAGUUCCAAACCGGUGCUGUUAUGUCGUACGGCUCCGAUCCGUGUGCCGAUUUGUUAGUGUUUUCCGUUUUUUAAAAUUGUAGACGUCGGGAUCCGUUUUUAUUCACUCUCCGAUGCGCUUUGCUCUGCUCUUCUCUUUUUUUCUUUUCUUUUCUUUUUGUUGUUAAGUGUGUAUUUGUUGUAACUUGGGAGAUAACAGAUGGUAAUAAAGUUUGAUAAAUAUUUCAC
ensembl:lncRNA